GGAUAGCUCAGUCUGUAGAGCAUGAGGCGCUCAAUCUCAGGGUCAUAGGUUUGAGCCCUAUGUUGGGCA